UUAAUCCCCCGUCGUAACAAUUUUUCCGUAGGUGAACCUGCGGAAGGAUCAUUAUUGUAUAACCGAGGUGCGAGGGCUGUCGCUGACCCGAAAGGUCGUGCACGCCCGUGUGCCCUCACACACAUCCAUCUCACCCCUAUGUGCACCACCGCGUGGGUCCCCCUUUGGCUUGUUCGGAGGGGGGCUUACGUUUUCACACAAACUUUGUAUGCAGUGUAGAAUGUAUUUUUUAUUUUUGCGAUCACGCAAUCAAUACAACUUUCAACAACGGAUCUCUUGGCUCUC
rnacentral:misc_RNA from 1 species